GCAUUAAUGGGGUAGUGGUAACCUGGGUCGUUGCCAUUCCGCUAUGGACUCGAUGAGUUCGACCCGCCGGGAGUUCGAUUCUCUCUUAAUGCA